UUAUUUUUAUCUCUCCGUCUCUCUAUUUUUCAUAAUCUUUUCACAUUCUCUUUGAAUAUAUAAUCCAGUAGUGAUGACGAAUGGGAUGAGAGGAAGAAGGAGAAGAAGUGCCACCCAAAAAGAGGAAACGACGAAAACUUUC
ensembl:ncRNA B0478.24 ncRNA